UUUUUUCUUUUUAAUCCUCACUCCCGUGCUGGAGAACCUGUUGUCUGAGCUGGCUUGGUCAGAUGAUGCCUCAACGUCAGAGCUCCAGUAAGCAGGAUACAGACUGACAAGGAUGUCCAGACAUACCUCCAGGAGAGACCCUAAAAGAUGGAGUGGAAUUUGUGGAGAAACUGUGGUCAAGGACCUCUGUAAUACAAGGAUAUGAGUUUUAAAAGCCAACUUGGGAGUGAAUCCAGUGAAUCUGCUACCUCAGCUGUCUCAGUGGAUACUUCCUGGAUCAGAUGGAAAGCAGCAAUCACAACAACAGCAACCCAAACUGAUGACUCUGCUGAACCUUUCCAGAACGCCAGACCUGCAGAAUUUUAGCAAAAUAAGUGUGUUUCCUGGCUCAGCUCCAUUCCCUUGAAACAUCUAAGAAAUACAGCUUUCCCCCAGAAAUUCUGGGGUGUUUGUCUAUAAGCCCUCCAGGUAGCUCUAAGACAUACCCCCGUGUGAGUAUUGCUGUUUCAAAUUGAAAGUCACGAAACUGAAGCAAGUCCGACAGAAGUUACAUGUAGAAACUGCGUCUGAGGUGCUUGAGCUGGGGUGGUAGAAGCUGAGAUUUCAUGUCUACAGAUGUGGGACCUUGAAAGGCAGCCUGUUUUAUGGUCGAGCUAGGUUUAAACCCCAGAGACGCCGUAGAUUAAUCUGCAAGGGACAAUUUGUCACAUGCUCCCAGACACUAGGCUCCUGACUAGCUCCAUAAUUCUGUGGACUUCAGUUACAUAGGCAGUCCAGACUCCAGCCCCACAGUUACCUGGCAACAGGCAGAAUGGCUCAGCCCAUUAUAAA
ensembl:lincRNA Gm14505 predicted gene 14505